AUAUGCAUCUUAUCUUUCUGAGCAGGUAUUUUACCUUAAGAUUAGCCCCUAUGCUCUCUCCGAGUGGUCUUCUCAUUCUAUUGGUGUGUGUAUACUGUAUAUUUGCUUAGAAGAAGGCUCGUGUCUGGGGUUGCUAUUGUUUUAUAAUUCUAUCUUGGAAGCAAACCUACAGUGUAUUCCUUUCUCCAUAUUUGAUGUUACCAUAUCCUUUAAGCAAUUCCUUUAAAUAAUGCUUUGCCUUCUAAAAGUUUUGGAUUUAGUUGCUACAUGCUUUGGUUCUUGUUUAGAUGCCUCACUGCACAUGUAUUUAAGUGUGUAUCAUAUUCCAUUAGUUAAAAUUACUUGUUAUAAAGUUGUCUUCUGAAAAUCCUUACUUUAUGUGUGUACCACGACGUGUUUGGUUAAAUCUUAUGUUGCAUAGUAAUGUUUACGAGAUCUCUCUGGAUGACUGCAGGGGAAGUUGCAAAAUAAGAAGGCUCAUUCUUUAUGUUUGUAAUGCAGUUUCCAUAUAAUAUCAGAUAUGUGAUACAGAUAUUGAGUGUAAAUUGCUUAUUAUCCCACUCAUUCUUCACAAGAGUAUGCCUAUAAUCUUUUUCUUCCUUUUUUCUAUUUGAACUUGUAGAUGGAAGUUGGAAUUGAGGACUGCCUUCAUAUCGAGUUUGAGUACAAUAAGAGCAAACUUUGGAUAUUCUCCUGCAAAUUCUUGUUGUCUUCCCAAAGGUAGAACCCCUGCGAAGUAAGGUUACCUCUUUCAUUCAUCGUAUGGUGGACACUCUAAGACCUUCAAUAUUUCCUUAUCUUCCGAAUGCACUGGGCCAGUUGCUAAUAGAAAGUGAGGCCGUCGUAUACACGGGGUUUAUGACGAUUCUGUUGCUCUACAGUGUGGCGGCUACUGCUGUGCUGUUUAUGUAUUGCAAGGCUUUGCAGGGGGAGCUUGCCUUUGAGAUUGCGGAGGAGUUCGCGCAGGAGUAUAUCCGGCUGCCUUUCGAUGAUGGGAAGCUUUCCCACGUUGUCUACGUCGUGUAGCUGAGGUUCUUGAACCGGGCAGCGCUGAAGAGACUAGAAGAGUUUGGAACAGAAGGUUCCAUGAUAAGUCCAUGGAAAAGAUGCUGCUAUUCUUGUCCCUGGUGAUGUAGUUUGUAUAAAAUUGGGCGAAAUUAAGAAGCUGGUACUUGUAUGGUGGGAGAAUUGGUAGACAGAAAUGUAUGUGAUAUUUACUACAUGCGCAUGUAGUAAAACAUGUAUUAACAGGCAACUUGUGUAGCUCGAAUUGUUGGAUGUUAUGUUAUAUAUGCUAAUAUUAUCUUGUCAAUGUUAUUUUAUUA